CUCAUCACUAGUUGUUUUCCUUGGAAGUGGAGCAAAGCCACCAAAAAAGCUCCAAAAUUCUCCAGUUUCAGGAUCGGCCAUCAACUUUCCAUCCUCUACAAAAAGACGAGUUCGAACCGUUGAAUUGGAAAAUUUUGGACUUGGUAUCGAGAAUAAAAAUGUCAUCGUGGUUGAGUGAAGAUCGACUGAAAGGAACCUAUCAUCACAAUUCCAGAAAACUCAGCAAGCAUUCAUAAAAA